CGACCCCAGGUCAGGCGGGGUUACCCGCUGAAUUUAAGCAUAUCAGUAAGCGGAGGA
rnacentral:rRNA from 1 species